rnacentral:rRNA from 1 species
UGACUUGUAUGAAGGAUUGGAUGAAAUAUAAACUGUCUCUUAAUUAUUAUAUUUAGAAUUUAAUUUUUUAAUUAAAAAGUUAAAAUAUAUUAAAAAGACGAGAAGACCCUAUAGAGUUUUAUAAUUUAGGUUUAUUGAGAUUAUUUAUAAAAUUAAAAUUAAAAUUAAUCUAUUUAUUUUGUUGGGGUGACAGAAAAAUAUAAUAAACUUUUUAUAUAUUUUAACAUUAAUAAGUGAUUAAAUGAUCCAAUAUUAUUGAUUAUAAGAAAAAAUUACCUUAGGGAUAACAGCGUAAUUUUUUUUUUUAGUUCAUAUAAAAAGAAAAGUUUGCGACCUCGAUGUUGGAUUAAGAUAAAAUUUAAAUGUAGAAG